AUCCUUGAUCCCAAUUUGAAUUUAAAAGGUUUCUCUCUCUAGUUGCAAUUGAUUUCAAAUCAACUUUUCAUCUUUUCCAUUCUACUGUUCUUCAUUUUUGUAAGCUUCAUCUUCUUCAUCUUACAUUGGUCGAAUUAAAUUCAUAUGAUGUCAAGAAUUCUAGUACUUAUGAGAACGGCGUCGUUUCUAAUUAAUUUCUCUGCCACUUAUAACUACAAUUUCUAUGUUACAGGAGUGACAGGAAAGACUGAUGGUCAACCCCAAAUCGACAAUAUAAGUUCAUCAAGUUGUAAUGAUUAUUAGAUAUAAAUUUUUGAUAUAUGUUUGAUAUUUUCUUUGUUAGUUAUUUCAAAAAUCUGAUAUAAUAAUGACAAGGUAUUGUUCUCAUAAGGUCAUGUAUCAUAUGUUUAAGUAUUAUCUAGAUACAUUAAAUUCUAAUUUUAUUCUCGUUUCGAACAGUUGUUAUGAAUUUAUGAAGUUAUAAAGUUUUAAUUGUAGAAUAGGUUAUAAUUUGUAGAAUCUUAUAUUAUAUAUUAUAAUUAAAC
rnacentral:lncRNA from 1 species